ACUGCAAAAUAAAGUUGUAUUUGAUAAAAUAUGUAUUUAAUGUAAUACUUGUCUUUUUAUUUUGCAGUUAUAUCAAGUUAUUGAUCCAUGAAGCAUUUCAAGUGACCAGCUCUUGUAGAUUUGAUUGAAGUUGCUUGGAUACUUGAUGUAUCUUUGUACCAGUGGAAGUAAACUACCAGGUCCGCAGCUAGCUUCCUCUCCAGUUUGCUGCUUGCUAUGAGACUCAUUCUGCUGGAGGACACAGUUCCAUGUCACCCAAGUGCUUUUUAGUUUACUCCAGAAAUAUGUUACAACUGAAGGGAACAGAUUCUCUCCUGACCUUUUUUCUUAUAAGAACUGAGGAACUCUUUGAUCCUGUGCUAAGUACAUCCUAA
rnacentral:lncRNA from 1 species